CAAAAGGGAAACAGCCCAGAUCGUCAGCUAAGGUCCCAAAGUGUAAGUUAAGUGGAAAAGGAUGUGGGAUUUCUAAGACAACUAGGAUGUUGGCUUAGAAGCAGCCACUCAUUUAAAGAGUGCGUAAUAGCUCACUAGUCGAGAGAUCCUGCGCCGAAAAUGUCCGGGGCUCAAACUUACCACCGAAGCUACGGGCUUGCGUAAGCAAGCGGUAGGGGAGCGUCGUAAUCGGGCUGAAGUCGUACCGUAAGGAGCGGUGGACUGAUUACGAGUGAGAAUGUUGGCAUUAGUAGCGAGAUGUAGGUGAGAAUCCUACAGGCCGAAUAUCUAAGGUUUCCUCAGGAAGGCUCGUCCGCUGAGGGUUAGUCGGGACCUAAGCCGAGGCCGAAAGGCGUAGGCGAUGGACAACAGGUUGAUAUUCCUGUACCACUACCAUCGUUAUUAUCGAGGGUGUGACGGAGAAGGAUAGUGUGUGCUAGCGAUUGGAAAUGCUAGUCUAAGCGUUUAGGGAGUUACGGUAGGCAAAUCCGCUGUAACAAUUCUGAGGCGUGAUGGGGAAGGCCAUAUAGGCCGAAGUACAUGAUUCCAUGCUUCCAAGAAAAGCAUCUAGAGAGAGAAGUAGUGCCCGUACCGCAAACCGACACAGGUAGAUGAGGAGAGAAUCCUAAGGCCGGCGGAAGAAUUGCAGUUAAGGAACUAGGCAAAUUGACCCCGUAAGUUCGCGAGAAGGGGUGCCUGCGAGAGCAGGCCGCAGAGAAUAGGCCCAAGCAACUGUUUAGCAAAAACACAGGUCUCUGCUAAAGCGUAAGCUGAUGUAUAGGGGCUGACGCCUGCCCGGUGCUGGAAGGUUAAGGGGAACACUUAGCGCAAGCGAAGGUGUGAACUUAAGCCCCAGUAAACGGCGGCCGUAACGAUAACGGUCCUAAGGUAGCGAAAUUCCUUGUCAGGUAAGUUCUGACCCGCACGAAUGGCGUAAUGACUUGGGCACUGUCUCAACUGUAAAUCCGGCGAAGUUGUAGUGCGAGUGAAGAUGCUCGCUACCCGCGAUUGGACGGAAAGACCCCGUAGAGCUUUACUGUAGCUUAGCAUUGAGUUUUGGUAUUGUCUGUACAGGAUAGGUGGGAGACUAGGAAACCAGGGCGUCAGCCUUGGUGGAGUCAACCUUGGGAUACCACCCUGACAGUACUGAAAUUCUAACUGGCGGCCAUGAAUCUGGUCACAGGACAUUGUUAGGUGGGCAGUUUGACUGGGGCGGUCGCCUCCUAAAAAGUAACGGAGGCGCCCAAAGGUUCCCUCAGAACGGUCGGAAAUCGUUCGUAGAGUGCAAAGGCAGAAGGGAGCCUGACUGCGAGACCUACAAGUCGAGCAGGGACGAAAGUCGGGCUUAGUGAUCCGGUGGUACCUCGUGGGAGGGCCAUCGCUCAACGGAUAAAAGCUACCUCGGGGAUAACAGGCUGAUCUCCCCCAAGAGUCCACAUCGACGGGGAGGUUUGGCACCUCGAUGUCGGCUCGUCGCAUCCUGGGGCUGUAGUAGGUCCCAAGGGUUGGGCUGUUCGCCCAUUAAAGCGGCACGCGAGCUGGGUUCAGAACGUCGUGAGACAGUUCGGUCCCUAUCCGUCGCGGGCGUAGGAAAUUUGAGAGGAGCUGUCCUUAGUACGAGAGGACCGGGAUGGACUGACCUCUGGUGCACCAGUUGUUCCGCCAGGAGCAUGGCUGGGUAGCUAAGUCGGGAAGGGAUAAACGCUGAAAGCAUCUAAGCGUGAAGCCUCCCUCAAGAUGAGAUUUCCCAUAGCAUAAGCUAGUAAGACCCCUUGAAGAACACAAGGUUGAUAGGUCAGAGGUGUAAGUGCGGUAACGUAUUUAGCUGACUGAUACUAAUAGGUCGAGGAGAUCGGA
rnacentral:rRNA from 1 species